rnacentral:rRNA from 1 species
GGAAUUGUGAAAUAAUCCUGGAUUGCCUCAGUAGCGGCGAGCGAAGCGGCAACAGCUCAGAUUUGAAAUCUGGCCCCCCUCGGGGGGUCCGAGUUGUAAUCUGCAGAGGAUGCUUCUGGCAAGGCGGCGGCCAAGUCCCCUGGAACGGGGCGCCGCAGAGGGUGAGAGCCCCGUGAGGUCGCCCGCCGAGCCUCUGUGAAGCUCCUUCGACGAGUCGAGUAGUUUGGGAAUGCUGCUCAAAACGGGAGGUAUACUCCUUCUAAAGCUAAAUACAGGCCGGAGACCGAUAGCGCACAAGUAGCGUGAGCGAAAGAUGAAAAGCACUUUGGAAAGAGAGUGAAACAGCACGUGAAACUGUUGAGGGGGAAGCGCUCUCGGCCAGAACUUGCGCCUGGCGGAUCACCUGGGGCUCCGCCCCGGGGCACUCCGCCAGGCGCAGGCCAGCGUCGGUUCUCGCGGCGGGAUAAAGGCGUCGGGAAUGUGGCUCCCCUCGGGGAGUGUUAUAGCCCGCGCGCGCAAUGCCGCCCCGGGGACCGAGGUCCGCGCCCUUGUGGCUAGGACGCUGGCAUAAUGGCCGUCAGUGACCCGUCUUGAAACACGGACCAAGGAGUCAAGCAUUGCUGCGAGUGCUAGGGUGUCAAACCCGUGCGCGCAGUGAAAGCAAACGCAGGAGGGAGCCUCGGCGCACCUCCGACCGAUCCUGAUGUACUCGGAUGGAUUUGAGUAGGAGCAGUUAUGCUUGGACCCGAAAGAUGGUGAACUUUGCGUGGAUAGGGUGAACCCAGAGGAAA